ensembl:lncRNA
UCCCACAGGAGUGAGAGUUCAGAGCCUCCCAUCAGGCUCCCCAGCCCGGCGGUCCAGCACCAGGAAGAUGCGCCCUCAGAGCAUUUGGCUUUGAGGCCUAGCAGGCCUUUAUUGCAGGAGCUCCCAGGACUGAGGAAAACAGAGGCUUCACUCUUAGAGGACGUAAACAAAAUCUCACACAGAAGCGGUAAUUUGAUAAGAGCGUGGGCCAGCCCUACCUGCGGGUCUUGGAGAGGCUCCUGGAGAGGUGGUAAGGGGUCGCCUGCAGCUCCUUCCAGAAACACAGACACUGGCGGCAGCCAUGUUUGGGAGCUCCUUCUCGCGAGAACUGCGGACUGGUAGGUGGAGCUUUAACAACAGGGAGGAGUUGCUGGAUGGUUUAUCUCAGGGGAGCCGCAGGACAAGUAGAUCUCUGCACCCACCCACCAGAAUCUUAAAAGAUCAAAGACUGAAAUACAGCCUUGAGAAAGAGCUGAGGUCAGUGACAAUCAACCUUGGAGAGCAGGUGAACUAAUUGCCUCAAGAAGUAAAGGUUCUAUUAGGAUUGAAAUACCUCCCAUCUCCCCAGCCUUCUCCUUCUCCAGACUCUCAACACCAAUAACAAAGUUUGCUGGGAAGUUUCUAUGUUCCAGUCAAUGCAAUCGGCAGAUGUUUUGAUCCCAGUGGAUUAUGUUUUCAUCUACUUCCACAGCUGUAUUUCACAUGGCAGAGCUAAACCCAGCCCGGCCUCAAGACAGCUCCCACUGCAUCCCUUGAACUGCCUUUCUUUGGGGACCUGAGAAUAAUGGAACAAAGUGGCAAAGGGUUCUGGGAUGAAAACAGCAUGCUGGCAUCAAGCCUCACAUUUUAUAGAACCAAGUGGAAGGUGCCAUAGAGACCCUGUUGCUGGGAAAGAUUGAGGGCAGGAGGAGAAGGGGAUGACAGAGGAUGAGAUGGUUGGAUGGCAUCACUGACUCAAUGG